UUUUUUUUUUUUUUUUUCUUUUCAGAAUCGAAACUUACCUUGUGAAAAGGCCUGUAGAGCGAUGGACAGCUGCACUGCCAAUAUCAUAGUCAGGAACAUCAUCAAUUCCUCCAUUUGUAGAACGCUUAACUAAAGAUUUAAUUACUUGAGCUGAGCGAUAUCUAUCCAAAUACUUGCCGUCUUAAAUUUAUAAAACUCUUGAAUAUUUACUCUUCAUUUUGACGUCUCUGGGAUGUUUCUUUCAGGCCUGCAGCUUCCGUGGUUUAGGACAAGUCCUUAUAUCCAGCAUUUAUACUCAGCAGAUUG
rnacentral:misc_RNA from 1 species